CUGCUGCUGGGCCUCGGAGACCCGGUCCACGGAGGAGGACCCAGAGAUGUUGGGCUGAAGCAGCAGGAUGUCAUUGUCCUGGAUAACUUUACAGUUCAGUCCAAUGGAAACCACCGACUGUCACUGUGACGGAGGAAGGAACAUACUGGAGACAUUACUGUCAUAGAUGAUGUCAUAGAUGAUGUCACUGAUGGGCUUACCUGAGCAGAAACAGCAGAGCCACAGUCCAAGUCUCUGCAGGCAGCAGCUGCUGCCUUCAGGGUCCAGCCAGAGUAACGGCCCUCCACUGGUCUCCAGUCUCCCUGAUGUUUCAGCUCCAGUGUUCCUGCACAGCGA